CGCGUAGGCGGCCCUGUAAGUCCGCUGUGAAAGUCAAAGGCUCAACCUUUGAAAGCCGGUGGAUACUGCAGGGCUGGAGUCCGGAAGAGGCGAGUGGAAUUCCUGGUGUAGCGGUGGAAUGCGCAGAUAUCAGGAGGAACACCGAUAGCGAAGGCAGCUCGCUGGGACGGUACUGACGCUGAGGCGCGAAAGCGUGGGGAGCGAACAGGAUUAGAUACCCUGGUAGUCCACGCCGUAAACGAUGGGCACUAGGUGUGGGAGGUGUCGACUCCUCCCGUGCCGUCGCUAACGCACUAAGUGCCCCGCCUGGGGAGUACGGCCGCAAGGCUAAA
rnacentral:rRNA from 1 species